AUGUUUGUUUUUGCGGGUAGUAUUGACCGAAGUGAGCUGAUUUGAAGACAACGAUAAAUGACUACCUAACGCACCAAUAAUGUUAGCAAGGCUUCAUUGAUUGACUAUAUUUCUGCCCAAUGACCACUGAUCUUCUUGAAAUCUAGCUGGGUAGAUAGCCAAUGAGCUGAGGUAAACGCCACUAUGUAAUGGUUUGGGGUUGGCCCACAAUUACUUGGUUGUAAUCGCACGCGCAGAGAACUCCAUUCUCGCCUUGACGAUCAGAUGAGUUGCUUGUAAGGCUUUUUACGCGCAGCUGUAUUUCGGAAAGUUGUAGUUUGAACGAUUUCAUUGAAGAUAUCAUGGCGAAUAAUUAAUGUAAAGCGAAGUCAAACUCUAAAGUGAAAGUGAGACAGAUUUUUUGUUUGAGGAAUCUUGGAGUGUUAUGAUUCAAACGAACUGAGGAGCUGUUUCUGCAAGGACAGGACGUACUUCUGGACGGCCUUCCUCUCCUCUGAGGACCCAGUGAGGGUGGAGCUCAGUCAGAGAGCUGUUGAGGGACUGGUUAGGAAGAACACUUCUACAGCCAGAGAGGGGCAGUCAAGAAAUGGAACAGCAAGGCCACAGAACAUGACAUAAGCAGAGCUGUGGGAGACCACCUCAAGCCCCUGGUAGAGCCGGGAGUGGUGUUUUACCACUCCACCACGCCUUCAGCAGGCUUGAAAAGUGGAAUUGAUCUGUUUGAUCCAUUUGUUUGUUUCAGUUUUCAGUAGUUGAAUCCUGUGAUGUAUUGUUCAUUUCAACAUUUUUGAAAAGUGAUACUAAACUUACAUACCAUGCACCAAAUUGACAUAGUGGAAGAUAUACUAAAUUGAUACUGUUUUUCAUACUAAGAUGGACCAUGCACUAUAUUGACAAGGUAGAAGAUAGCAUGAAAAACAGUAUACAUUCAGUCUGAGAUGGACCAAGAUAUGCCUUUGCACAUAUUUGUUCAUUGGUUUAGUAAGAGUGUUGAUUGGUUCAUUUGUUUUGCAAUAUGAUCAAAUCAAGCUUUAUUUAUAUAGUACAUUUCAGACAUGGCUUCACAGGAAAAAAAUUAACUGAUAUAUUUAGUACAUAAACAAACAGAACCUUAACUGAAAGACUGAGCAUUUUAAGGAAAUGUCAUUGAUUAAAAUAUUAACAAUUGGAUGCAACAUCCAACACAAAAUAUAAGCUUGUUUUACUCCAAUAUUUGUUCUAACGUUCUCCAUCAAGAAACCCAAAAAACUAAAGUCAAAUUAAACGUUACAUGAAUUGUAAAUAUGAAAUAUCAAAAUCAAAUAUACACCGCUUUGUUAAUAUGUAUUGGCAAUAAUUAACUUAAUGAAUGGUGAGGCAUGGAAUAAUAAAACAUGUAUCUUUGUCAGGCGGAAUGUUUGAAAUAUGAGGUGAUUUGAUUCAUACUUCUUCAGUCGUGGAAUAAAGACAAUUAGCAUUUGAAUGUUGUAAAGAAAUACUGGAGUGAUGUAGGAAUGUUAAUAAAAAUGUAUUAUACUGCAUCCAUGUGAAUCGGCGACAAGUACGUUGAAAUUAAUUUAUCAAGUCAUUGAAAAAAGACCUGAAAAUAUUUUAUUAUAUAAACAAAACACGACAACAUCAUACAAACAACAUCACACCUGCUCUUUUUUUGUUAGUCACUUUUUGUUAAUUUACAUAAAUAGUAAUAGAUGUAAACAGAUGGCUACAUUUUGAAGUGUUGCAUUUUGAUUCAAGAGGGUCACCAACGUGGUAAGUGUAACACAACUCUUUUUUUUUGUUAGGACAUUUUUGUUAAAUCACAUAAAUAAUACUCUUUCAAUUCAGAGCCUGGAUUUGGCUAAAAUCCAUAUCAUGCUAAAAUCAAAUGAACAGGGGGCAAACAUUUAGGGUGCUACAUUGUGAAAUUCAUUCAAAUACUCAAGACUACAAUGUUAAAACAUUCUACAUUGUGACAAUAUUUAAUUGAUAUUGUGAAACAACUUCAUGUAUGUAUUUUCUGAUGUUUGAUUAGAUAUAUUUUAUCAGAGUAUCUCUUGUCACAUUGAUCAUAGCCAUAAGGUUUCUCUCAUGUGUGUGUCCGCUGGUGUGAUAUCAGGCUGUUUGACCGAGUAAAACUCUUCCCACAUUGAUUACAGUUA